AUGAACGCUGGCGGCGUGCCUAAUACAUGCAAGUCGAGCGAACAGACGAGGAGCUUGCUCCUCUGACGUUAGCGGCGGACGGGUGAGUAACACGUGGAUAACCUACCUAUAAGACUGGGAUAACUUCGGGAAACCGGAGCUAAUACCGGAUAAUAUAUUGAACCGCAUGGUUCAAUAGUGAAAGACGGUUUUGCUGUCACUUAUAGAUGGAUCCGCGCCUCAUUAGCUAGUUGGUAAGGUAACGGCUUACCAAGGCGACGAUGCGUAGCCGACCUGAGAGGGUGAUCGGCCACACUGGAACUGAGACACGGUCCAGACUCCUACGGGAGGCAGCAGAAGGGAAUCUUCCGCAAUGGGCGAAAGCCUGACGGAGCAACGCCGCGUGAGUGAUGAAGGUCUUCGGAUCGUAAAACUCUGUUAUUAGGGAAGAACAAAUGUGUAAGUAACUAUGCACGUCUUGACGGUACCUAAUCAGAAAGCCACGGCUAACUACGUG
rnacentral:rRNA from 1 species